rnacentral:rRNA from 1 species
CAAGACUAUUACAGGUACGGGCUCUGAGAGGAGUAGCCCGGAGAUGGGUACUGAGACACGGACCCAGGCCCUAUGGGGCGCAGCAGGCGAGAAAACUUUGCAAUGUGCGAAAGCACGACAAGGUUAAUCCGAGUGAUUUCUGCUAAAGAAAUCUUUUGUUAGUCCUAGAAACACUAACGAAUAAGGGGUGGGCAAGUUCUGGUGUCAGCCGCCGCGGUAAAACCAGCACCUCAAGUGGUCAGGAUGAUUAUUGGGCCUAAAGCAUCCGUAGCCGGCUCUGUAAGUUUUCGGUUAAAUCUGUACGCUUAACGUACAGGCCGCCGGGAAUACUGCAAAGCUAGGGAGUGGGAGAAGUAGACGGUACUCGGUAGGAAGUGGUAAAAUGCUUUGAUCUAUCGAUGACCACCUGUGGCGAAGGCGGUCUACUAGAACACGUCCGACGGUGAGGGAUGAAAGCUGGGGGAGCAAACCGGAUUAGAUACCCGGGUAGUCCCAGCUGUAAACUAUGCAAACUCAGUGAUGCAUUGGCUUGUGGCCAAUGCAGUGCUGCAGGGAAGCCGUUAAGUUUGCCGCCUGGGAAGUACGUACGCAAGUAUGAAACUUAAAGGAAUUGGCGGGGGAGCACCACAAGGGGUGAAGCCUGCGGUUCAAUUGGAGUCAACGCCGG